UUUCUGCUCCUGUCGCCAUGGCCCCGGCCUCGGCGCUCAAGCGACCCUCUCGCUCCGCCCAGGCUUCGUGGAGAGCAGCUGCCCCGCCGGCAUCUUCCGGAUGAGGCUCUCUAGACAACAAAGCCUUCUACGCGGAAGUUACUGACCCCUGGAUGCCCAGCUGCCGCACCUCCCGUGGCCCCACGCUGUGGCUACGUGUUGUCUGAAGACGCCUGGGGAAACCUUCAGGGCCUCUGUACUGGCCUGUCAUGUGGUCAACCAGUGUGAACAUCGAGGUGUCUGGGUUCAUGGAAGGUGGUGAAGAAACCACCUACAACUAUACCAUGUCCUGUCCCUAUUUCACAUGGGCCUCGAGGGAGAUUCUCUGAAGGGAACUACAUGGAGAUCUCAAACUUGAUUGCACGGUCAACCCCGCUCCUGUCUGUCAGGCUCAGGAACCACUUACAAGCUAUGGCAGGUGAUGUUCCAGCAUCCCACAGGGAGGAAGAUUAUGCUGAUGAGCCACAUGGCCAAGCAGGACUAUGGCUU
rnacentral:lncRNA from 1 species